UACGUAGGGCGCAAGCGUUAUCCGGAAUUAUUGGGCGUAAAGAGCUCGUAGGCGGUUUGUCGCGUCUGCCGUGAAAGUCCGGGGCUCAACUCCGGAUCUGCGGUGGGUACGGGCAGACUAGAGUGAUGUAGGGGAGACUGGAAUUCCUGGUGUAGCGGUGAAAUGCGCAGAUAUCAGGAGGAACACCGAUGGCGAAGGCAGGUCUCUGGGCAUUACCUGACGCUGAGGAGCGAAAGCGUGGGUAGCGAACAGG
rnacentral:rRNA from 1 species